rnacentral:rRNA from 1 species
AGCAGCCGCGGUAAUUCCAGCUCCAAUAGCGUAUAUUAAAGUUGUUGCAGUUAAAAAGCUCGUAGUUGAAUUUCGGGAUCAAUAUGUCGGUCGUGCCUUCGGUACGUACUGGUAUCAUUGGUCUCUCCUUUCUGACGAACCAUGAUGUCAUUAAUUUGGUGUUAUGGGGGAGUUAGGACUGUUACUUUGAAAAAAAUUAGAGUGUUUAAAGCAGGCUUUAGCUUGAAUACAUUAGCGUGGAAUAAUGAAAUAGGACGUUCGAACCUAUUUUGUUGGUUUCUAGGAUCAACGUAAUGAUUAAUAGGGAUAGUUGGGGGGCAUUAGUAUUCAAUUGUCAGAGGUGAAAUUCUUGGAUUUAUUGAAGACUACCUACUGCGAAAGCAUUUUGCCAAGGAUGUUUUCAUUAAUCAAGAACGAAAGUUAGGGGAUCGAAGACGAUCAGAUACCGUCGUAGUCUUAACCAUAAACUAUGCCGACUAGGGAUCGGAUGAUGUUAAUUUUUUCAAUGACUCAUUCGGCG